GAUGAACGCUGGCGGCGUGCCUAACACAUGCAAGUCGAACGGACUUACAUUGAAGCCUAGCGAUAUGUAAGUUAGUGGCGGACGGGUGAGUAACGCGUGGGUAACCUGCCUUGUACUGGGGGACAACAGUUGGAAACGACUGCUAAUACCGCAUAAGCGCACAGCUUCGCAUGAAGCAGUGUGAAAAACUCCGGUGGUACAAGAUGGACCCGCGUCUGAUUAGCUGGUUGGUGAGGUAACGGCCCACCAAGGCGACGAUCAGUAGCCGGCCUGAGAGGGUGAACGGCCACAUUGGGACUGAGACACGGCCCAAACUCCUACGGGAGGCAGCAGUGGGGAAUAUUGCACAAUGGGGGAAACCCUGAUGCAGCAACGCCGCGUGAGUGAAGAAGUAUUUCGGUAUGUAAAGCUCUAUCAGCAGGAAAGAAAAUGACGGUACCUGACUAAGAAGCCCCGGCUAACUACGUGCCAGCAGCCGCGGU
rnacentral:rRNA from 1 species